GCCUAGCCCUGAUAAAAGCGGCAUCCUUUUUCUUGCUUCUUUAGCAAGGAAAAGAUAGAGCGGAUAGCAGGAAAUAGC
rnacentral:sRNA from 2 species